rnacentral:rRNA from 1 species
GUGGGGAAUCUUCCGCAAUGGACGAAAGUCUAACGGAGCAACGCCGCGUGAGUGAAGAAGGUUUUCGGAUCGUAAAGCUCUUUCGUUAGGGACGAACGUGCUCUUUGUGAAUAAUGAGGAGUAAUGACGGUACCUAAAUAAGAAGCCACGGCUAACUACGUGCCAGCAGCCGCGGUAAUACGUAGGUGGCAAGCGUUGUCCGGAAUUAUUGGGCGUAAAGCGCGCGCAGGCGGGAUAUCAAGUCUGUCUUAAAAGUGCGAGGCUCAACCUCGUGAGGGGACAGAAACUGGUAUUCUUGAGUGUCGGAGAGGAAAGUGGAAUUCCAAGUGUAGCGGUGAAAUGCGUAGAGAUUUGGAAGAACACCAGUGGCGAAGGCGACUUUCUGGACGAUGUCUGACGCUGAGGCGCGAAAGCUAGGGGAGCGAACGGGAUUAGAAACCCCUGUAGUCC